rnacentral:misc_RNA from 1 species
UAAAAACCUCAAGCCUGGCUUGGUGUUGGGGCUUGCUGUAAAGGCAGCCUCUAAAAUCAGUGGCAGUGCUGUCAGGCUCUAAGCGUAGUAAAUUCAUCGCUAUAGAGUCCUGGUGGAUACUCGUCAAAACCCCCCAUUUUUAAU